UACAGAGGUCUCAAGCGUUGUUCGGAUUCAUUGGGCGUAAAGGGUGCGUAGGCGGCGCCGGUAAGUCGGGUGUGAAAUCUCGGGGCUUAACUCCGAAACUGCAUUCGAUACUGCCGUGCUUGAGGACUGGAGAGGAGACUGGAAUUUACGGUGUAGCGGUGAAAUGCGUAGAUAUCGUAAGGAAGACCAGUGGCAAAGGCGGGUCUCUGGACAGUUCCUGACACUGAGACACGAAGGCCAGGGGAGCAAACGGG
rnacentral:rRNA from 1 species